GAUGGCCAUAUGACGAUGAAACACCGGUUCUCGUACGAUCACCGAAGUUAAGUAACGCCAAGCCUGAUCACUACCUAGAUGGGUGACUGCUCAAGAAUAUCAGAUGUUGGA